GCUGCUAAAUUACACUCAACUCAGCGUUUUGUUGCUGUGAGCCAUUGCAUCAGGACUUCCUUCAGGCUGAGUACAAGUAAAAAGAGCAGAGUCUCUAUUAAAGCGAUGCUGGAGAGCAAAUAAGCCAAUAAGGAAAAAGCGGGGGAAGAAGCAAAAGAACUUGAUUCAGAGAAAUUUAAGAACAAGGCAUAUGAACCCUCAUCCCUACUAAAAUAAAAGACCAAACUUCCAGUGGCUUCAACAAGGGCACAAACUCAAGGUUUAGAAGGAGUACUGUGAUACGUAUAUCCUCAGCCGGAUGACAGAGCUUCCUCUGAAGUUGAUAACGGU